rnacentral:rRNA from 1 species
CUUGAACGCUGGCGGCAGGCCUAACACAUGCAAGUCGAACGAGUGGCGGACGGGUGAGUAAUGUCUGGGAAACUGCCUGAUGGAGGGGGAUAACUACUGGAAACGGUAGCUAAUACCGCAUACCAUCAGAUGUGCCCAGAUGGGGUUAGCUAGUUGGUGGGGUAACGGCUCACCAAGGCGACGAUCCCUAGCUGGUCUGCGAGGGUGACCGGCCAACCUGGAACUGAGACACGGUCCAGAGUCCUACGGGAGGCAGCAGUGGGGAAUAUUGCACAAUGGGCGCAAGCCGGAUGCAGCCAUGCCGCGUGGAUGAAGAAGGCCUUGGGGUUGUAAAGUACUUUCAGCGGGGAGGCGUUACCCGCAGAGGAAGCACCGGCUAACUCCGUGCCAGCAGCCGCGGUAAUAC